GACGUAGGGCGCGAGCGUUGUCCGGAUUUAUUGGGCGUAAAGAGCUCGUAGGCGGCUUGUCGCGUCGUCCGUGAAAACUUGGGGCUUAACCCUGAGCUUGCGGUCGAUACGGGCAUCACUGGAGUUCGGCAGGGGAGACUGGAAUUCCUGGUGUAGCGGUGAAAUGCGCAGAUAUCAGGAGGAACACCGGUGGCGAAGGCGGGUCUCUGGGCUGACACUGACGCUCAUGCACGAAAGCGUGGGGAGCAAACAGG
rnacentral:rRNA from 1 species